rnacentral:rRNA from 1 species
GAUGAACGCUGGCGGCGUGCUUAACACAUGCAAGUCGAACGAUGAAAGCGGGAGCUUGCUCCUGCUGGAUUAGUGGCGAACGGGUGAGUAACACGUGAGUAACCUGCCCUUGACUCUGGGAUAAGCGUUGGAAACGACGUCUAAUACCGGAUACGACCUUCGGAGGCAUCUCCUGGGGGUGGAAAGAAUUUCGGUCAAGGAUGGACUCGCGGCCUAUCAGCUAGUUGGUGAGGUAAUGGCUCACCAAGGCGACGACGGGUAGCCGGCCUGAGAGGGUGACCGGCCACACUGGGACCGAGACACGGCCCAGACUCCUACGGGAGGCAGCAGUGGGGAAUAUUGCACAAUGGGCGCAAGCCUGAUGCAGCAACGCCGCGUGAGGGACGACGGCCUUCGGGUUGUAAACCUCUUUUAGUAGGGAAGAAGCGAAAGUGACGGUACCUGCAGAAAAAGCACCGGCUAACUACGUGCCAGCAGCCGCGGUAAAAC